AUAAAGAUAAGCUAAAUUAAGCUUUAAGGUUCAUACCCUUACUAUAGAUUUUUUCUUCUUUAUA
rnacentral:tRNA from 1 species